rnacentral:lncRNA from 1 species
CUCACAGCUGAGUUUGGCUCCUGUACCUGAGCAUCAGGAGUGCUCACCAUGGUUGAAAGAGCCAGAAUCACUCUCUGGCCAGUCCUCGAGGCCUCUUCUGGCUUUGGUUUUGCUUCCCAUUAAGUUUCUUAGUUCAGGAGUGAAGAACAGGAGAAAAGAGAAAGCUGAAAUAUAUAGCUGUGAAAUAUGGCUUGCCGUGUCAACUAGCCAGUGCCUGCAGCCUAAAAGGAAUUUUGAGCACUGGUCCUGAAGUUCCCCAAACACCUCCUGGACUCCUGGUCUGCAUGCACAGUUGGAUGAAGACACCAGGAAAUUUAGACUGAGAUGGACUGUGGGAAGUUGCAAAAAUCAGGACUUUGGAUAUGCUUUUUUUAAAAAAAAAUCUGAUUUGGAGAUAAUAUAAAAGAAAAAGGAAAAACGUAUGAAUUUUUUUGGACCUUGGUGUGGUGAACACGACUUCCACAGCCUCAUGUAUCAGGUCUGUGAAACUCUCCCAACAUUAUUCUCAACAAAUUCACGGCCCAUAGGUGAGCCAUGGUGAGCAUAAGCAUUUUUUGUCAAGCCAACGAGGAUCUUAUUGCUAUGUGGAAAAUAUUUACUGCUAUUGCUGAUGAUUAUUUAUCAUAGG